rnacentral:lncRNA from 1 species
UCCUGUAAAAAACACCUAACUAUUUAGUUUAACUAAUAAAUAAAAGACAGCUUAAAGUAUGUAAACGCCGGCGUUUGACCGUUAAACCUAACAAACAGCAAAAAAACCCAACCCGAAUCAAAGUGGAAACGGUUCAUUCACAAUUUCCGUGUGCUACACCGUUAACUCUAUAAUCUCUCUUUCUCUCUUUCAUUUUUCUAUUUUCUAAUUUCUAACCGUUUUUUCACCUGUAAGAUUCUUUCUGCAUAGCGAAACGGCGACGACGGUGCCGGCGAAGGCCAGGACGACGUCGUUCGCUCGUUCGCCGGAAAACCUAAAAAAUUACCGAAUCAAAACAAC